rnacentral:rRNA from 1 species
AACGAACGCUGGCGGCAUGCCUAAUACAUGCAAGUCGAACGAGAUCUUCGGAUCUAGUGGCGCACGGGUGCGUAACGCGUGGGAAUCUGCCCUUGGGUUCGGAAUAACUUCUGGAAACGGAAGCUAAUACCGGAUGAUGACGUAAGUCCAAAGAUUUAUCGCCCAAGGAUGAGCCCGCGUAGGAUUAGGUAGUUGGUGAGGUAAAGGCUCACCAAGCCGACGAUCCUUAGCUGGCCUGAGAGGAUGAUCAGCCACACUGGGACUGAGACACGGCCCAGACUCCUACGGGAGGCAGCAGUAGGGAAUAUUGGACAAUGGGCGAAAGCCUGAUCCAGCAAUGCCGCGUGAGUGAUGAAGGCCUUAGGGUUGUAAAGCUCUUUUACCCGGGAUGAUAAUGACAGUACCGGGAGAAUAAGCUCCGGCUAACUCCGUG